rnacentral:rRNA from 1 species
AAACUGGAGAUGGCGACCGGCGCACGGGUGAGUAACACGUAUCCAACCUGCCGAUAACUCGGGGAUAGCCUUUCGAAAGAAAGAUUAAUACCCGAUGGCAUAAUAGAACCGCAUGGUUUGAUUAUUAAAGAAUUUCGGUUAUCGAUGGGGAUGCGCUCCAUUAGGCAGUUGGUGGGGUAACGGCCCACCAAACCUUCGAUGGAUAGGGGUUCUGAGAGGAAGGUCCCCCACAUUGGAACUGAGACACGGUCCAAACUCCUACGGGAGGCAGCAUG